AUUGAACGCUGGCGGCAGGCUUAACACAUGCAAGUCGAGCGAGCGGCGGACGGGUGAGUCAUGUCUGGGAAACUGCCUGAUGGAGGGGGAUACCUACUGGAACCGGUAGCUAAUCCCGCAUACCAUCAGAUGUGAACAGAUGGGAUUAGCUAGUAGUGGGGGUAAUGGCUCACCUAGGCGACGAUCCCUAGCCGGUCUGUGAGGAGGACCAGCCACACUGGAACUGAGACACGCUCCAGACUCCUACGGGAGGCAGCAGAGGGGAAUAGUGGAAAAGGGGCGCAAGCCGGAUGCAGCCAUGCCGCGGGUGUGAAGAAGGCCUUCGGGUUGUAAAGCACUUUCAGAGAGGAGGCGUUACUCGCAGAAGAAGCACCGGCUAACUCCGUGCCAGCAGCCGCGGUAAUUC
rnacentral:rRNA from 1 species